rnacentral:ncRNA from 1 species
AAGGGCGUACGCGACUGGCGAUAGGCGCGGCUUCCAGCAGGGUGCCGCCGCUGACGUGGAAACCGGCAAGGGCAUGCCUCUUGUGAACCACUAGGGAGCGUGCCGUAGAGGUUCAAGACCUUUUGCGUUCCGCCGUUCGCCUGGGCAGCCCUU